AAGGAUUUAAGUUAAAUUAAACUAAUAACCUUCAAAGUUAUAAAUAAAAAUAAAUUUUUAAGCCUUA
rnacentral:tRNA from 1 species